rnacentral:rRNA from 1 species
GUGGGGAAUCUUGCGCAAUGGGCGAAAGCCUGACGCAGCCAUGCCGCGUGAAUGAUGAAGGUCUUAGGAUUGUAAAAUUCUUUCACCGGGGACGAUAAUGACGGUACCCGGAGAAGAAGCCCCGGCUAACUUCGUGCCAGCAGCCGCGGUAAUACGAAGGGGGCUAGCGUUGCUCGGAAUUACUGGGCGUAAAGGGCGCGUAGGCGGACAGCUUAGUCAGAGGUGAAAGCCCAGGGCUCAACCUUGGAAUUGCAUUUGAGACUGGGUGGCUUGAGUUUGGUAGAGGUGAGUGGAACUCCGAGUGUAGAGGUGAAAUUCGUAGAUAUUCGGAAGAACACCAGUGGCGAAGGCGACUCACUGGCCCAAUACUGACGCUGAGGCGCGAAAGCGUGGGGAGCAAACAGGAUUAGAAACCCGUGUAGUCC